AGUUUGAUCCUGGCUCAGGAUGAACGCUAGCGGGAGGCCUAACACAUGCAAGCCGAGCGGUAGAGAUCUUUCGGGAUCUUGAGAGCGGCGUACGGGUGCGGAACACGUGUGCAACCUGCCUUUAUCUGGGGGAUAGCCUUUCGAAAGGAAGAUUAAUACCCCAUAAUAUAAGAGACGGCAUCGUUUUUUAUUGAAAACUCCGGUGGAUAGAGAUGGGCACGCGCAAGAUUAGAUAGUUGGUGAGGUAACGGCUCACCAAGUCUACGAUCUUUAGGGGGCCUGAGAGGGUGAUCCCCCACACUGGUACUGAGACACGGACCAGACUCCUACGGGAGGCAGCAGUGAGGAAUAUUGGACAAUGGGUGAGAGCCUGAUCCAGCCAUCCCGCGUGAAGGACGACGGCCCUAUGGGUUGUAAACUUCUUUUGUAUAGGGAUAAACCUACCCUCGUGAGGGUAGCUGAAGGUACUAUACGAAUAAGCACCGGCUAACUCCGUGCCAGCAGCCGCGGUAAUACGGAGGGUGCAAGCGUUAUCCGGAUUUAUUGGGUUUAAAGGGUCCGUAGGCGGAUGUGUAAGUCAGUGGUGAAAUCUCACAGCUUAACUGUGAAACUGCCAUUGAUACUGCAUGUCUUGAGUGUUGUUGUAGUAGCUGGAAUAAGUAGUGUAGCGGUGAAAUGCAUAGAUAUUACUUAGAACACCAAUUGCGAAGGCAGGUUACUAAGCAACAACUGACGCUGAUGGACGAAAGCGUGGGGAGCGAACAGGAUUAGAUACCCUGGUAGUCCAAUCC
rnacentral:rRNA from 1 species